GAAACUAACCUGGAUUCCUUUAGUAGCGGCGAGCGAAGCGGGAAGAGCCCAUCGCCGAAUCCCCGGGGGGCGCGAGCCCCCCGCGGGAACUGUGGCGUAAGGAAGUCCGGCCCCGAGGCCGCGGCGGCGCCGAGGUCCUUCUGAUCGAGGCCCCCUCCGUCCCAGGGCGGGUGUCAGGCCCCUGCGGGCGCCGUCCGGCCGCGGACCAGGGCUUCCGGGAGUCGGGUUGUUUUGUAGCGCAGCCCAAAGGCGGGCGGUAAACUCCGCCCAAGGCUAAACACCUGCACGAGACCGAUAGAGCACAAGUACCUAGAGGGAAAG
rnacentral:rRNA from 1 species